UUGAAGUUAAUUCCCUAUAAAAAGCAGUUGACGGAAGAGUUUGUAUUUGCGUCUGAACGCUUGCAUGCAGCUUCUAGGCGUACAGAACUGCAAUUCAGUGUUGUAUCACGGGUAGCAACAAGGACAUGGACGCCAGAGAUGACAGUGCAUUGGCUGCUUCAGUUUAAAAGCUUUUUUUCAGCUGUUCUCAUCCUGUUUCUUCAAAUAAAGGUGUAACAAACUUUUACACUGUA